GAGAAAUUUUUUGGGAAAACUUACAUCUGGAUUAUAAAAGAUUAACAAAUAAAUGCAUGCUUGAUUAAACCAACAACUUGCAACUGAUAAAAUUACUAAUUUAUUACCUACCCUUGUUCCCAGCUUUUGGCCCCUCUUGUUAGCUCAUACAGUACGAGGGAGAUAAGGUGGACCUCACAUCGGCAAAAUCCGAGGCUAAGCUGCUCCAUGAAAAGAUCUCAGACAAGGCCUACAACGAUGACGAUAUCAUCAGGAUUCUGGCUACGUGGAGCAAAGCACAGAUCAAUGCAACUCUAGAUCACUGCAAAAAAAGAAUUCGGGAGUGACAUCAACAAGGAUCUGAAAGCUGACCCCAACGAGUAUCUUGCAAUACUAAGGGCCACGAAAAAGUGAUUGGUCCGCCCUAACAAGUGUUUUGAAAAGUCUCUUCUUCUGGCAUUUAACAGACGAGGAACAGAUGAAGGAGCCCUCACUGGAGUUGUCGAUACGAGGGCUGAGGUUGGCAUGAAGAUUAUCAAGGACCUGUACCACAAAAGGAACAGCGUCCCUCUGUAUCAGGCCAUUAAAGAAGACACUACUUUAAUGCAUCUUUCUUGUAGGAGCAAGGCAAUAUAUUUGAAUCCGAUAUGUUCUACUUACGACAGAUAGUAAUAGUGGAAGCUUGUUUUUGUUUUACAAUUGAA